GAAAUACAAACUUGAAAAUGAGUAUGUUUAAAAAUCUGAAUAUGACGGUGUCGUUUCGAAAAGAAUUCUCUUGCCAGAAACCCCUUCUCAUCAGCCUGUCGCAUUUUCUGCUUUUGUGACAGAUUUAGACGAUGGUCCAACAAUAGAUAAACAUAGGGAGAUUGUGCUCAAUAAAAUAGAGACAAACGUUGGAAAUGCAUACGACAGUUUCACAGGAACAUUUCGUGCGCUUCAAAGUGGUAAUUAUGCUUUUUCUUGGACAAUAUUCGUCCAUGGAGGAAGUUCAGUUUCAAAUCUAGGCGAAAUAUUGACUGAACUUAUUGUCAAUGGACAGGUUCAUGGAAACUUACACGCCGAUACCGAGACAAUUGGAGAUGAUGACUCCGCUACAGGUUUUGUAAUCAAGACUCUGUCGAAAGACGAUGUAGUAUUUAUUCGUUCUGGAAAUUCAUGGGUUCCACAGGGUGUUUUGCACGGACAUAUGAGAUGGACAUUUUCGGGAUGGCUUAUUGAUUAAAAUGCAAUAUAUUCUCUGGU